UNGGAGCCAGGUAAUGAUGUACGUGCUCU
rnacentral:piRNA from 1 species